rnacentral:rRNA from 1 species
UGGGGAAUUUUACACAAUGGGGGAAACCCUGAUGUAGCAACGCCGCGUGGAGGAUGACGGAUCUAGGUCUGUAAACUCCUUUUAUAAGGGAAGAAAUUUGACGGUACCUUAUGAAUAAGCACCGGCUAACUCCGUGCCAGCAGCCGCGGUAAUACGGGGGGUGCAAGCGUUACUCGGAAUCACUGGGCGUAAAGGGAGCGUAGGCGUUUUAUUAAGUCUUGAGUGAAAGCUCGCAGCUCAACUGCGGAACUGCUCAGGAAACUGAUAGAAUUUAGUAUGGAAGAGGUAGGUGGAAUUUCCGGUGUAGGGGUACAAUCCGUAGAUAUCGGAAGGAAUACCAGAAGCGAAGGCGACCUACUGGGACAUUACUGAC